GACGAACGCUGGCGGCGUGCUUAACACAUGCAGGUCGAACGAAGCUUGAUUACGGAUUCUUCGGAUGAAGUAUGAUAUGACUGAGUGGCGGACGGGUGAGUAACGCGUGAGUAACCUGCCCUUCAGAGGGGGAUAGCGUUUGGAAACGAACGGUAAUACCGCAUAAUGUAUUUUGACCGCAUGAUCGAAAUACCAAAGAUUUAUCGCUGAAGGAUGGACUCGCGUCUGAUUAGGUAGUUGGUGGGGUAACGGCCUACCAAGCCGACGAUCAGUAGCCGGACUGAGAGGUUGAUCGGCCACAUUGGGACUGAGACACGGCCCAGACUCCUACGGGAGGCAGCAGUGGGGAAUAUUGCACAAUGGGCGCAAGCCUGAUGCAGCAACGCCGCGUGAAGGAAGACGGUUUUCGGAUUGUAAACUUCUGUUCUUAGUGAAGAAUAAUGACGGUAGCUAAGGAGCAAGCCACGGCUAACUACGUG
rnacentral:rRNA from 1 species